GGGCGAAUAGCUCAGCGGCAGAGCGUUCCCCUCACACGGGAGAGGUCCGAGGUUCAAAUCCUCGUUCGCCCA
rnacentral:tRNA from 1 species